rnacentral:tRNA from 1 species
GCACUGGUGGUUCAGAGGAGAGUUCUUGUCUUCCACGUGGGAGACCUGGGUUCAAUUCCCAGCCAAUGUU